rnacentral:rRNA from 1 species
UACGAAGGGGGCUAGCGUUGCUCGGAAUCACUGGGCGUAAAGGGUGCGUAGGCGGGUCUUUAAGUCAGGGGUGAAAUCCUGGAGCUCAACUCCAGAACUGCCUUUGAUACUGAUGAUCUUGAGUUCGGGAGAGGUGAGUGGAACUGCGAGUGUAGAGGUGAAAUUCGUAGAUAUUCGCAAGAACACCAGUGGCGAAGGCGGCUCACUGGCCCGAUACUGACGCUGAGGUGCGAAAGCGUGGGGAGCAAACAGG